rnacentral:rRNA from 1 species
AGUGAACGCUGGCGGUAGGCCUAACACAUGCAAGUCGAACGGCAGCACAGUAAGAGCUUGCUCUGACGGGUGGCGAGUGGCGGACGGGUGAGGAAUACAUCGGAAUCUACUUUUUCGGGGGGGAGAACGUAGGGAAACUUACGCUAAUACCGCAUACGACCUACGGGUGAAAGCAGGGGAUCUUCGGACCUUGCGCGAUUGAAUGAGCCGAUGUCGGAUUAGCUAGUUGGCGGGGUAAAGGCCCACCAAGGCGACGAUCCGUAGCUGGUCUGAGAGGAUGAUCAGCCACACUGGAACUGAGACACGGUCCAGACUCCUACGGGAGGCAGCAGUGGGGAAUAUUGGACAAUGGGCGCAAGCCUGAUCCAGCCAUACCGCGUGGGUGAAGAAGGCCUUCGGGUUGUAAAGCCCUUUUGUUGGGAAAGAAAAGCAGCAGGUUAAUACCCCGCUGUUCUGACGGUACCCAAAGAAUAAGCACCGGCUAACUUCGUG